rnacentral:rRNA from 1 species
UACAGAGGGGGCAAGCGUUGUCCGGAUUUACUGGGCGUACAGCGCGCGCAGGCGGUUGCGUAUGUGAGCGGGUGACAUCCGCGGGCUCAACCCGCGGCGGCCCGCUUCACAGCGCGACUGGAGGCAGGGAGAGGGAUGUGGAAUACCCGGUGGAGCGGUGAAAUGCGUAGAGAUCGGGUGGAACACCAGCGGCGAAGGCGGCAUCCUGGUCCUGUACUGACGCUGGAGGCGCGGAGAGCGUGGGGAGCGAACUGG